CUCCUGGGCGUGGGCGUUGAUUCCUGACCCUGCGGCCGGGCUCAAGCCACGCAGGAGCCCUCCCCGCACCAGAAGAUAGUGCAGACCGCUAACAAAACCGUCAUUCCGGAAAAACUGCACCUAAUGUAAUACUCUGCACUCGGGGACCACUCAAUAACAGCUCGCAGGUGCCAGGGAGGCAGUUCUUUACCGGAGACGCUGAAGCACUUGUGUGUGGACGUUGAGCGUUUCCCGCGAGGGAAGAAGACGACAGGUCAAGCAGCCUCCAUUUUGCAGACAGGAGAACUAAUGCACCCGGCAGCCCCGUCGCAAAAGACUAGGAUAUAUCCAGAACCCGUUUCUCGUGGCACAGGCCCUGAAAAUAUGCUUAGGCUACCCGUGGACUCCAUGAGGAACUUGCAAUUCUUCAGACAUGCAAUUUGUAUUUUGGGGAUGUCAGAGUGAAUGAAACAGCCUCAUAAAUUCACAAGCUCCCCAAGCAUUACUUGUAGAGGAAAAAUGUCACCAUACAUCAUUUUAAGAAUUUAGAAAUGCUGUUUGGGGACAUCUGAUUCCCAGGACACACACAGCAAGAACACAAAAGGAAAAGAAAAACAAACAAGGAAAACAGAAAAUCUCAUUAGGCGGAGCAGGUACUUUCAACCAACUCUCUGAUAAAGACUUUCAACAACCAACUCUUUUAUCCUUGAAGACUCCACAACAUAGAACCCCAAAAGGGAAUAUAAUUGAGAUCAUUUCUAAUGAGUUCCAAUUUCUGCCUAGGAUCAUUCACUCUGUGGGAUGCCAGCUGCAAGGAGGACACUAAAAGGAGGAAUACGCCAGAAUCCAUAUGGCAAGGAUCUGAGGCCUCUUGCCAACUUCCACCCUCAACUUGUCAGUCAUGAGAAUAUGCCAUCUUUGGAGCAGAACCUCCAGCCCCAGUCCAGCUUUCAGGUGACUGUGGCCCUGGCCAACACACUGACACCUCAUGUGAUAUCCUGUGGCCAGACCACCUAGCUAAGACAGCUCCUGGAUUCCUGACUCUCAGAGACUGUAUGAGAUAAUAAAUAUUUACUAUGGUUUUAAGCCAUUA